GACGAACGCUGGCGGCGUGCCUAAUACAUGCAAGUAGAACGCUGAAGAGAGGAUCUUGCUCUUCUUGGAUGAGUUGCGAACGGGUGAGUAACGCGUAGGUAACCUGCCUUGUAGCGGGGGAUAACUAUUGGAAACGAUAGCUAAUACCGCAUAACAAUGGAUGACACAUGUCAUUUAUUUGAAAGUGGCAAUUGCUCCACUACAAGAUGGACCUGCGUUGUAUUAGCUAGUAGGUGAGGUAAUGGCUCACCUAGGCGACGAUACAUAGCCGACCUGAGAGGGUGAUCGGCCACACUGAGACGGAGACACGGCCCAGACUCAUACGGGAGGCAGCAGUAGGGAAUCUUCGGCAAUGGGGGCAACCCUGACCGAGCAACGCCGAGUGAGUGAAGAAGGUUUUCGGAUCGUAAAGCUCUGUUGUAAGUCAAGAAAGGGUGUGGGAGUGGAAAGUUCACACUGUGACGGUAGCUUAACAGAAAGGGACGGCUAACUACGUG
rnacentral:rRNA from 1 species